UAGGAAAUAAUAUAAGGGAAGUAUGAAGAGUUUUGAUCUCUUUUGUGUGGGUUCAACUCCCGCUUUUCUAA
rnacentral:tRNA from 1 species